rnacentral:rRNA from 1 species
GAUGAACGCUGGCGGCGUGCUUAACACAUGCAAGUCGAACGAAGCACUUUAUUUGAUUUCCUUCGGGACUGAUUAUUUUGUGACUGAGUGGCGGACGGGUGAGUAACGCGUGGGUAACCUGCCUUGUACAGGGGGAUAACAGUUGGAAACGGCUGCUAAUACCGCAUAAGCGCACGGCACCGCAUGAUGCAGUGUGAAAAACUCCGGUGGUAUAAGAUGGACCCGCGUUGGAUUAGCUAGUUGGUGAGGUAACGGCCCACCAAGGCGACGAUCCAUAGCCGACCUGAGAGGGUGACCGGCCACAUUGGGACUGAGACACGGCCCAAACUCCUGCGGGAGGCAGCAGUGGGGAAUAUUGCACAAUGGGCGAAAGCCUGAUGCAGCGACGCCGCGUGAGCGAAGAAGUAUUUCGGUAUGUAAAGCUCUAUCAGCAGGGAAGAUAAUGACGGUACCUGACUAAGAAGCACCGGCUAAAUACGUG